UACGUAGGGUGCAAGCGUUGUCCGGAAUUAUUGGGCGUAAAGAGCUCGUAGGCGGUCUGUCGCGUCUGCUGUGAAAACUCAGGGCUUAACCCUGAGCUUGCAGUGGGUACGGGCAGACUAGAGUGCGGUAGGGGAGACUGGAAUUCCUGGUGUAGCGGUGAAAUGCGCAGAUAUCAGGAGGAACACCGGUGGCGAAGGCGGGUCUCUGGGCCGCAACUGACGCU
rnacentral:rRNA from 1 species